GCAGUCCCGAAACUGCCCCUACACCAACACCUAACAGUCAAAAAAAAAAAAUAGGGGCAAAGCUGUCUUUUUCUCUUUGUGCGGAUCCAAAGAGAAUAUGCCUUUCUCUAAACCGAAUAUGCCCCUUUUGAAUUUCAGAUCUACUUUUCAAAACCCUAUUGCAUUUAAUUGCAAUAUAAAACCAAUCUUUUCUCUUUCUAUGAAAACCUAGCUGCCAUUUUUCCCUUUCACAGCCGGCCUCCUUCACUCCUCUUCUCUCUUUCUUCUCCUUUCUUUGAACAGCAAGCAAAACCCUAGCAAGCUUCUUCUCCUCCUUCUCCUACUGCCCAGCCGAAAGCACCUUCUUCCUUUCUUUCUUCUUGUUGCAGCAACAACAACCCAGCCGAGCUUCCUCUUCUCCUUCCCUUCAACCUUCUUACUGCAGAAAUAAAACCCAGCCGAGACACCCAAGCUUAUCUCCUCUUUCUCUUGUUCUAGAUUUUAAAACCUGCAAAGACUAAGAACAAAAACCAGCCAUAGAAAUACCAACGAAAAAUAAAAACCAGCAAAGGAAAAAGAAUAAAAAACACCACAACAAUUGAUUUCGGAGUUCCCUCUAAAUCAGAGGUACGUCUCCGUCAAGCGACCCUCAAAGUUGCUUGAAUCUCACUAUGAAUCUCAAAAACCGGUUACAAGUUAUGGAGAUUCCAUGCCACAAAAGCUAGCAGGUUGAUUACAAAGGAAACACAAGGCUACUGCCUUUAUUUUUCUGCUGGGCCGAAAUGGUUCUCUUGUUCAAAUGAGAAGGUUGAACCUCAUAUUUAUAAUAUUGUUUGUUGCUGGCUGUGUUGUGUUUGAGCUGAGAAAUAGAUAUAUUCUGUUGUGAUAUUUUCCUUGUAAAGCUGAAAGUUUGUUAGAGUCUUGAGAUAUUUUGUUUGCUUCUUCAUAUUGUAAAGAGAAAUAAAGAUCUAGGCCUAUGACAACAGAACCGACAACUCUAUGAGUUAUAAUGGUCUGUUGAGGCUUUGUAAAUAGAUCUAAUUUAUUUUCCUUGUAACUUUAUUUAUGGGACAAUAGUAUGGGAAUUUAUCCAACAAA